CUCAACUUAGUAAGGCCCUUACUAAGGGGUCGUUGUGCAACUACUUAUGCUCUGGGAUAACGUAACGUUAUGGUGGAAUCGAAGGAGAGCGAUCGCCUGGUAUGCUUAGGACGCAGGAUUGAAUCCCACAGCAAACCUAUUCUCCGAUUGUUUUCACCCAACUAAGCUACUACCCCAUGACCAGUAUGCCGAAAGACGAAAGACGUGACACAGAUGACCUAGACACAGACUGCUGUGAAGACUAUUCCCAGCUACAUGUAUCGACCAAUUUAAUGUGUUAUUCUCUUGUACAAUCACUAAAACUGUAGUGUCCACGCUUUCCCUGUGUAAACCCCGUCGGUGGCCCUAUUGCGCUAUUUCUCGUUCCAGCCAGUGCACCACGACUGGUAUAUCAACAGCCGUGGUAGGUGAUACCCUGUCUAUGGGAUUGGUGCACA